GUGAUUCCUUCUGCUUGGUCUCUGCAGGGGAUGUCCACAUGCUGACUUGCUUUGGCCCCCAUGGGGUAGUUAUCCUGCCACAGCGGCCAUUCUUCACAGAUGGGACCCUGCGGGAACAGGUGAUAUACCCUCUGAAGGAAAUCUAUCCAGUUUCGGGGUCUUCGGAUGAUGAAAGGAUUCUGAGAUUCCUGGAGCUGACUGGGUUGGUGAGUUACCGAGGGAAUAAAUGAUGCACUUUCUGUCCCAAUUUGGGGAUAGAAAGUGGCUAUAAAAGCUCAGCAAGGUGCACUGUAAAUGUCUAUGGAUCAUUCCUAAAAAGGAGGAUGCUGGGAUUGCCAGGAAGCCUCACUGUUUGACCAUGGAAGAUUGGAUUAGUCCAAAGAGUAAUUUGGGCUCCAUGAAUUCUGAGAUGAAUGUAGCUCUGAGUAUGUGCCAUCUUGUACAGUGGUACCACUGGUUACAUACGCUUCAGGUUACAGACUCCGCUAACCCAGAAAUAGUGCUUCAGGUUAAGAAACUUUGCUUCAGGAUGGAACAGAAAUCGGCUCCGGCGGUACAGCAGCAGCGGGAGGCCCCAUUAGCUAAAGUGGUGCUUCAGGUUAAGAACAGUUU